GGACCAUAGCUCAGUGAUAGAACAUCUGUUUUGCAUGCAGGAAGUCCCAGGUUCAAUCCCCAGUAUCUCCA